CAUCACUAAUAGCUUUUUUGUCAACAAACAACAACUCGCCUGAGCAUUUUCUUUAAAAAAAAAUACCAAGGGUCACAAGGCUGUUUCUAUGAUUAAUGCUUUCCAUGCCUGUCAGUUUAAGUAGACAGCCAUGUGUUGAUGAAGCAACGUCCUUUUUUCCCCAAGUCAGACCCAGAGUUCACGCAGGUAAGAUGAGAGCCCCAUGGCGCUUGUAAGCCAUAUCAUCCUGGACGAAUCAGGUGUUAAUGGUUGCGCGCUCACACCGUGUGGGGGCAUGAACAAGUCUGAUGGCCACUCACUGAUAUGUUUACGUCUUCCAACAACUGCCCACCUCCUUAAUCACAGCAGAGGAUGAGGGUCAGCCUCAUUCUGGAUUCUCCUCACAGCCUGGCUGUAGCUUUCAGUCACGUUCAGACCGAGAGCUCUGCUCUCCCUAGGCACUGAACCCUGAAGAACAGUUGGGGUAACAUCCUCAAAGCUUGGCAUUUCCAGUGAGGAUUAAAUACCUGGAAUCUGAAGGUAGCAGAAAAUGAAAAACUGUCUCGCCUGCAUCAAAGAGCAAGCUUGUCAUUAUUAGCUACAGAGGAAGAAAUAUGCAACUUGACAGAGGUGAAGAUUGUCUUCAACUUUUUUAUUUCAAGGGUCCUUCUUCUUUCUGUCAGGAUGCUGAACUGUACCAGCCUUGAAGUGUAUUAAUGUUACCAUUUUAAUUGGGAUUUUGUUAGAUGUGGUGUGCCAUUAGCACCGCAGGAGUUAGCUUCUCAUGAUGGAAGCUGUCAGAUUACUCACAUUACUUGAAAGCAAUCCCCAACUGGCAUUUCUGUUUUUUGAACCUUUUAGCAAAGGAUACAAAGAUGUUGUGUUUUGUCCCAGUCACUUUGUUAACACCAGGCUCUUUUGUCUUCUCAGAAAGUGAACAAAAAAAAAUCCAUGUCAAACUUUGCUGAACUGCUAUGAUAAAUGAUCAAAUUAAAUUUGAGGAUAGUUCUCAUCGAUGAUGUCCUAUGUUAAAUGCUGCAUUAAUCUACUCUGUCAUAGCAAUACUUCUACUUACUGUUCAACAGAGCUCUUAAGAAACAUACAGUAGCUAUCUACUGACCAGAAGUCUAGCAGCUUCAAAGUCUUCACAGCUGAAUAUUUUAAUUGGCAUAAAUUUAGAGCUGAGCAUUUUGAAAACAUGUAUUUAAAUUCUACAUCAUAGAAGGAGGAUAUAUAUAUAAUAUGCAGGUUGUUAGUUGGGUGUGUCUGAAUGGGUGAAUGUGGGAUUAACCGCCAGGAUUUGUAUUUGUAUUAUUUUUUUUAACAUCAAGCUGCUUAGGAACUGCUGAUAUAAAUUGGUUCUACCUACGGUCAAUCAUCACAUGUAAAUCUCUUAUUAUUGUUUGGUAUCAGAUAUUUGGUACAGAUAAAUUAAAUAAAGUAAGUAAGUGAAA